AGAUCAGGCCAUUGUGAAUUUUUUUUUUUUUUUUCUGUAAUAAAACUAGCCCCAGCCAGCCAGACUGGGAACUUACUGCCUGAGCUGUUUUCCAACAUGGUUUUGCUGGCAAAACCAGACAAGAGUGUUUCCUUGACUCUCAAGGGCCCUGUUUACACUGACUUUAUUUUUACUGCCAGCUUUCAAGUGGGAAGAGGAAGAUUCUAUUUAAAGAUGACAGACAGAUGCUCCCAAUUUGGAAAUGAGAGCUGGAGGGAAGAACUGAGAAGGCCAGUCUCUGGUCCAUGUACACAUUCUCAAAGAAAUUUAGCACCGAGACUAACAUUCUUGGGAAGCCAACCUGCAAGUAUCCUCCACUGAGGGACAAACCAGGACAUUGCUGCUCCACUGAGGAUUCACCAACAAGCCAUGAAAUCCCUGACUGCAGGAGACUUGGAAGACUGCCUUAUGACUAAGGUGAGCGUGAGGCGCCAGCAGAUCUCCCAGAUUGUGGAGGACGUGCAGAGGGUCGUCCACCAGCUGACCACAGAAAUCAGCCACCAAGACAUUCGAUUCCAGGCCGUCCCUUACUCUGACACGUACAAUGGGAACAUUAAGGUUUUGUCCCCCAGCCAGUUCCUGGUCACCGUCCCGGUGAGGGGCCUGGCCGGGUACAGGGAGGCGAGGGAGCAACGCUGGCGAUGCUAUACCCUACAGGGGGCCAGGCUGUCCUGCCCCUUGCGGGACCCGGAGGGCCUGCAGCAGUGGCUGGAGGUGGAGCAGUUUAUGAAGAGCCUGUGGCAGUGGCAUGAGGCAGACGUGAACAUUGAGGGAGACAUUGUGCCCGCCAAGGUCCUCCAGGUGUUCCGGAAGCUGGUAGAAAAUGCAGUUGGAACCUGUCAUCUCUCAGGUAAGGUCAGCAUGCUAACACACCACUCUGCAGUUUGGGUUGCCGUGGAAACAGCCACGUGGCAGGUGGAGCUAGAGCUGGUCCCCGCAGUGGAGAUCCCUACUGCCUGGUCUGAGAAAGCUCGGUGGCCUCCCUGUCUGAGGCGCUGGCCUUCCCGACAGAGAGCGGAGUGCAUCAAGUCAUUUGGGUUUGCCUUGCUGGCCCGUUCGCAGUAUCACUGGCAGCUGAGCUUCCUGCAAGCCGAGCAGGUGCUGUUGGAGCAACUGGACGAGGACGGGGGCUGCCGCAGCAGGUGUCUCCAGGCCCUGAGGCAGAUGAAGGAGGACGUCUGGUGUCCAGGAAAGAGGCCGGUCAUCACGUCCCACCAUCUGCAGACCGUGCUCUUUUGGACUUGUGAGAAAUACCCACACUUGAAGGACUGGCAGGUCUUCAGCAAAGCCUUCCUGCGCCUGGUGAGGAAACUGCACAAGUGUGUGAGCCAGCACUUUCUGAGGCACUAUUUCGUGCGAAAGAGCAACCUCCUCCGGUCUGCCAACUCGGGCGACCUGGACGCCGUGGCCCAGAGACUGGCGCUCUUCCUGAAGAACCCCCAGGUCAGCCCGCCCUGAAGCUGCCCCUGCCUGGGAGGCUCUCAGAUGUUUUAUCCUGGCUUGACCUCGUUCUCUGUAGGAUCCUGUCCAGGAGAGAAGCAACCUAGGGCACAGGAAAUUACGCGGACCCAGGAGCGCUUAAGAGGGGAAAGCUGCACCCCAAGAUGUCUGACCCAGGCCUCCCUGGAGCCAAGCAAGUGUUCCAGCCCUCACUAGCUACCUCCCUUGGGGACAGCUGUCCUCAGGCAUCCCCAAGCCACUGAUUCUGAGCUGAUGACAGGCAGCACUGAAUGUAUUCUGCCUUGCUUGGGCUCCGACUGUCUGCCCGAGAGGACAGAGACGAGAGCCACUGGAAGGCCAGGCACCAGCCUGCGGCCCAGGAGUGAGUCUCCAGCCCACUGGCCCCGAUUCUUCUUCUUAUUGUCCAUUGGUCAAAUGCAGCUGUGAACAUACCUUUCUCCGAGCUGGGCUGUCAGCCGGGGUACUGCGCUGGGGCCCUCAUCAGGGAAAAACACUGGAUCAACAAAGUGUUACUCAUUGGUUGGUAGCCGGCAUUUGCCUCCUGGAUGGGCCCCACCCAACACGCUAAUUAAAUGAUUGCGUCUGAUGGCUUGGCACACCUGUGUGGACCCUGCUGCCCUCCAGUUCUCCUGAACUGUGGUUCCAGGCUUGUGGUUGCAUCCGCUUCCCCACUGUCCUCCAAGUAGGGAGAAGGUGGUUUUGCUGACUAGUGUGGGUCAAAGAUGAAAGUGCAGCUCUGUUUGCCAGGGGCUCCCCUUGCCUUGCGCCCCGGGGCCGGGUAUUCUUGGAACGGACUUGGUGUCACUCACCUCUCACUACCUGCCUUUGCUCACUUCACUCUGUGGUAACUCUAUGCUCAUCAGGCACCGGGAAUACCGCCAAGAGCGAAAAUGACAAAGGACGUGCCUGGUCGGGGGCGGCGCCUAAUGGAGACAGGAGGUGAAUGACAGAUAACAGACACGAGUAUUACAAAUUGUAGCAAGUUGUCCUGAAGGAAAUAAACAGAAUAUUGAAACAGAGCCACAGAGAGCUCCUGGAAGGAUGAAAAUGCGAACAGCCGAAGGGGAAGGGAAGCAGGGAAGCGGAGCGAGGGCAGGCUGGGAGGGGCUGGAAUAAGUCCGAUCAUGUGGCCUGGUAAAGCUGAACCGUGAGGAAAUAACGUUCUGUCUUGUAAGCCAUGCGGUCUGUGGUAUUUUGUGAUGGCGACGCUGGGCAACGAAUCCAGGCCUGAGGAGAGAGGAGCUACCUCGCCGCUCUGAGGAGGGGGGUAAGCAGAAUAAUGGGUGUCAGAGGCUCCUCAUUUCAGAAUCUGGCACAUAGUAACCGUGGAACACGUGCUUAGCAUUUUAGGCACCAACUCGCCAUGGCCAUUGCCCCAUCCCUGCCAGGCCUGGUAAGGACCCCCACCCCAUGUAUAAAUCCUUCAUGAAUAGGCUAGAAGCCAUCGAAGGAAAACAUGCGCAGGAUUCCACCCCGAGUUCCACAAACCCAUCUUGUCCUUUGUCCUUCUUGCUCACCAGAGAAGUAGCUCCGGACUUGUCCUCGUGUGUUGGAACCGUGCUGCCCAACGUGUCAAGGACGGCUUUCCAUUUAGCUCCUGUCCUACCCUCCAUUUCCUCCUGCAAGUGUGGCCCCCUCUUCCCCCCUUUCACCAUCCAGCUUCCUGAGCUAUUGGACACGUGGCCCUGCUUCCUUGCCUCCAAACACCUUUUUUGUGUGAAAGCUACCAUACAUGUUGGAAUUGAGAGUGUUUCAAGAACAAUAAAACAGACACCAAUAGUCACCAUCUGGGUGAAAAAUAGCAUUUGGCCAGUACUAUAGAAUUCUAGGUGCCGGUCCUCCCCCUAGCCCCCUCACUCCCCAAUUUUGUGUUAGUCAUUCUGCUGCUUUUCUUUAUAGUUCGACUACCUAUCAUAUUUCUUUGAACCUAAGCCCCCCACAAUUGUGAGGCGAGUCUUUAUUUCACGUCUAAGAAAGAAAAAGUGCUGCUAAACGUCAUUGCAAGACGCAGCUGCUUAUAAGAUGCAUCCCCCCCCCCCCUCCGUUUAGGGAGAUUAGAAUGUGAAAAGUGUAUUUUAGAAUCAACAAAACAUGACCUGCAUGCAUCUGGAUGUCUUUUGAGUUGUGCCCAUUUUUUUGCGCUUCAUAUCAAUGGAAUCCUACUAUACAAAGUCUUUGUGACUGGCUUUUGUCCGCCGUGUGCUUCUGAGAGUCUCCCGUGUGCACGGAGGUGGCAGUGGUGUGUUCCUUUUCACUGCUGUGGAAUAUCUGGGUUGUUUCUAGUUUUAGUGAUUUGAACCGUUUUUAUGCACAUUCUUACAUGUACCUUCCAAUGCACUCAGGUCUUUUAAGGGUAGGUACAUAAGAGUGAAAUCUCAAGUUCAAAGUGUGUAUAUAUAUAUAUGUUUAAAUUAGUGAGGUAAUGUCAACAUAUUUUCUGAAGUGGUAGCACCAGUUAAAAGGGUAGCUCCCUUUUAAUGAAGGUGAAUUUUCAGUGACUUUCUCCAUGGCGUGGAGUGCAUUUUGUAUCUUGUGUAAGAAAUCCCAUUUUUUAAGGUUAUGGAGGUAUGCUUGCUCCUAUGUUGUUCUCUAAAAUUUUACUGCUCUGCGAUGUCCACAAUAGCCAAACUGUGGAAAGAGCCUAGAUGUCCAUCAACAGAUGAA